rnacentral:rRNA from 1 species
GACGAACGCUGGCGGCGUGCUUAACACAUGCAAGUCGAACGGAAAGGCCCUGCUUGUGUGGGGUGCUCGAGUGGCGAACGGGUGAGUAACACGUGAGUAUCCUGCCCUUGACUUUGGGAUAACUUCAGGAAACUGGGGCUAAUACCGGAUAGGAGCUCCUGCUGCAUGGUGGGGGUUGGAAAGUUUCGGCGGUUGGGGAUGGACGCGCGGGUUAUCAGCUUGUUGGUGGGGGAGUGGCUUACCAAGGCUUUGACGGGUAGCCGGCCUGAGAGGGUGACCGGCGACAUUGGGACUGAGAUACGGCCCAGACUCCUACGGGAGGCAGCAGUGGGGAAUAUUGCACAAUGGGCGGAAGCCUGAUGCAGCAACGCCGCGUGCGGGAUGACGGCCUUCGGGUUGUAAACCGCUUUCGCCUGUGACGAAGCGUGAGUGACGGUAAUGGGUAAAGAAGCACCGGCUAACUACGUG